GAAAUGCGAUACGCAAUGCGAAUUGCAGAACCGUGAGUCAUCAGAUUUUUGAACGCAAAUGGCGAUAGCGCAAGCUAUCAUGUUUGUUUCAGUGUGCCUGGUUAAUUACAUCAUAUAUCUAAAUGCGAUUGAAGCAAUUCUCUCGUCAAAUAUGUAGUAGUUCGAGCACGAAACUAUUAAACGAGAUAGUCACUAAACUAAGUGAUAUCGUUUUACUUAGUCUCGCGCUCAUUAACAACUAUUAACCAGGCACACUGAAAUAAGCAAGAUUACCCGCUGAACUUAA
rnacentral:misc_RNA from 1 species